rfam:Corynebacterium kutscheri strain DSM 20755, complete genome.
UGAGCCGGCUGGGCGGUCGCGACGGUGUGUACCUGCAUUUUUAUGUGUAUGGCACAACGUCGAGGAAAGUCCGGACUCCAUAUGAGCACGGUGGUUGUUAACGGCAACCCGGAGUGAUCCGAGGGCAAGUGCAACAGAAAGUAAACCGCCUGUUUUAUUACAGGUAAGGGUGAAAGGGUGCGGUAAGAGCGCACCAGCAUGUGCAGUGAUGUAUGUGGCUAGGUAAACCCCACUGGGAGCAAGGUCAAAAGGACGCACCUUAGGGUGUGUCUGCGCAGGUGUUACUGGGUUGCUCGCCCAAACCUGCGGGUAGCUGCUUGAGGUCGCCAGCAAUGGUUGAUCCAGAUGGAUGGCCGCCACGCACAUAAUCUGUGCGUACAGAAUCCGGCUUAUACGCCGACUCAUUCG